AGCUGUAGAAAUACAGUCUUCUAUGCGAAAGCAUAGACAAUUUUACAGGUGCUGCAUGGCUGUCGUCAGCUCGUGUCGUGAGAUGUUGGGUUAAGUCCUUUAACGAGCGCAACUCCUGUCGUUAGUUGCAACUCCGUAAGGAGGCACUCUAUCGAGACUGCCUGGGAAACCAGGAGGAAGGUGGGAAUGACGUCAAGUCCGCAUGGCCCUUAUGCCUAGGGCAACACACGUGUUACAAUGGUUGGUACAAAGGGUUGCGAGCUUGUAAAAGUAAGCCAAUCCCAGAAAGCCAAUCUAAGUUCGGAUUGAGGUCUGCAACUCGACCUCAUGAAGUUGAAAUCGCUAGUAAUCGCAUAUCAGAACGAUGCGGUGAAUACGUUCUCGGACCUUGUACACACCGCCCGUCAAGCCAUGAAAGCUUUUUGCACCCAAAGUUGUUUUAGCUAACUCGUAAGAGAGGCGGAUACCUAAGGUGUGGGAAGUGAUUGGGGCUAAGUCGUAACAAGGUAGCUGUAGGAGAACCUGUGGCUGGAUCACCUCCUU
rnacentral:rRNA from 1 species